GGACAUGGGCCAGAACACAUGUGAGAAGAUAAUGCUCAACACUAUCGAAUGUAUCUGAGACAUCAAGGGAGCUGAAUCUGAAAAAUAAUCAGAAGAGCGUAAUUGCAAAUUUGGGAGAGGGAGAUUCACACAGCAUGACUGCUGCAGAGGAUGUGGACUCCAGAUAACAAAGAAACUCGCCACACAUAAAUCGCAAUUUCCAUAGAGAUAAAUCAGCCCCGGCAUGUGGGGAGAUGAAACCCUCUAGCAGAAGCACUUGGCACACUUCAUUUGAUUCCCAUUCGUCAGCCUCGGUGCCAGUGGCUCAAAAAGAAUGCAAAGGUAAAUGAACACCAAAAUAUGAUUUACAGCAUUGGAAAACAGUCCUACACAAAUAAAUCAAGGUUCCACUUCA